rnacentral:tRNA from 2 species
GCGCCCGUAGCUCAGCUGGAUAGAGCACCUGCCUUCUAAGCAGGGGGUCGCAGGUUCGAAUCCUGCCGGGCGUACCA